UUCUUAAGUUUCCUCUCUUCCCUGGUUCUUUGGAGAUUGACAUACCUUGGCCAUUGAUAAUGUUCUGAUAGCCAGGGUGUAUGAUAUCAUCUAAUGUCAAAUUCAUAUGCUCUCCACCCAACAAUGGCACUGAUAUUGUACACCCUGUCUCUCAUUCCCUUUUCCUACAAAUGUAAUUUUUGUUCCUUUCGUCCAUCCUGAUUGUACAUUUAUUGUUAAUUGUUCUUCCUCUUGAA